CCGCCCGGGGCCGGUCACCCAGCGGCGACGCGCGGGGGUCACCACCUGGAGUGUAGGGCACCCUUGAUGCUUACACCCUUCCCGAGAGAUGGCCCGCGCCUCGGGACUCCAGCUCCGAGGGCACCGCCCACAGUCGCCAGGGAGGAUUAGCCUCCGGCGCUGCCCUCCGGGGGGUGGGGUGGGGGCUGUCCGCGUUGUCAUGGGGACUAGGCGCCCCCUCGCGGGCUGGGGAGGAACCAGGCGGCCAAGCUUGGCUAUGAGCCCCGCCUCCGCCCUAACCACGCACUCUGGACCCCGAAGUGUUUUCACGCCUCUCUUCCAUGGCUUGAAGCCCCUUCGCUGUCCCGCCUGCAGUUUAAUCCUGAUUUUGAGGGUUUGGUCCCAACAGGCCCCUGGUGUGCAGCGGGGCGGAUUCUAGCAACGUGCUUCUGUCGGGGCAGAGCGCUGCCUGUUGGCCGCCGGGCAGCCAAAAGACUGGAGCCGUCGGGGCCUGGGGAAGAGCAGAAAGGAAACUUUGGAAGAACCAGGCUGUUCUGGGACCAUCAACAUGACUCGAGAAACCAAGGAUUCCCAUAAAACACUCCACUCAGGCUGCACGUGCCACCCCUUAAGAGCUGGGAACUGGGCUACUUCCUGAAGACAGCACAGGUGGGUGUGUAGAGUCUGGGAGGGUAAGGAUGGGGGGUCUUGAGUUUGAGCCCUGCCUCACUGCGCUGUUUUUAUGGCCAGUGAGCCUGACAAUGGCAAGGCACUUUUGGACUUGACUUCCUAUCUGGGUGCUAAAGGAUCAGAGCUGAUGAGACCUUUUCUGGUGACACUCACUGACUCUGCCUUUCAGUUAAAAGAAUGAUUUUCAGCCAGCUUUUUCUUUCUUGGGACUUGGUAAGGAUGAAUGAGUCACUGUUUGUUCUAGGUUCUUCUUGGGAGCUAGACAAACAUACAAAGGGAUAAAGACUGGGAAGGUCUACAAGGGGCAGUGUUUCAAAUGGUCUUCUACACAGCACCCGGUUCUCUUCAGCAGCCUCUCUAAGUUGUGCUUCUGGGUGUGGCUCAAUCAGUCUCACUGCUGGGGCCCUACAGGGCUCCUUGAGUAAGCGGGAAAGCCAGCCUUUCUCAGAGAUCCCAAUGUUCUGUUCACCCGAUCUGUGGCUCGGAUCUUCCCAGGUUCUUAAGAACACUCAUCUGACGGUCUCAGGGAUGUCUCUGCAGACUGCUUCCAGGAAGACUGGUAUUUAUCUGUACCAUCUCUGGUGAGGGAAAGAGCUGGCACCUGGCUCUCCUGGCUAGCCUGAAGGAGAGUCUCUGUGGAAGUUCUGGCUCCCCUUUUCAUUCCAAAAUAUGCCUUUCUCCUCCUUGGUUACUAAUGCUUGAUUAUAAUUACCAUCCACAUUGGUCGCUCCCUCUGAAAGAACUGAGGCUUUGUAAGGAGUGCCAUCCUUGGUCAAGGUUUCAGGUGCUCCAUACUCGGGUUACUUCUCUUCUGCCAAUCUCUAGUCUGCCUCCUUCUGAGCUGGUUCUAGAAGCAGUGGUCUAGUAAUGUCGCUCCCACCCUCAUUUAGAGGGAAAUCCAUGAAGCCGGGCAGGGGUCCUACACACCCACUCACAGGGAGGGUCAGUGGUGGUAGCUAGGCUGGCCAUCAGCCAGAGGCACAGCAGCCUGGUUGGAAGUAGUGAGCUCAUUACUGGGAAGGGGAAGGGGAUUACUGAGCUUAUCUGCCAUCAUGGUAUGACAGCCUGGUACAGGCCCUCGAGGGACAGACAAGUCUUUUCACUAGUCCUAAGAGUCCUUUCCUAGGAUGAGAUGGGGUGUGCUUUAAAGCCUUUGUCUACUGGCAAGUAGGACUUCACAAUCACCAAGAGACACCCAAGAAGCUUGUUCCCAGUCUGUGCUUGGCAAGAGGACUGAGGCUGAGACAAUGGGAAAGAAUCAAGAGCAGCAUUGAGAGCACAGAAUGCAAGGCAGCUGCCUGUGCCUGGACAAAGGCAGACAACCACCUGUCUUGGGGGAGGGCUGCAAUCUUGGCCCAGCUGGUGGGCUAGAUUCUGUGCCCUUGGGAAUGGGUGUGCCAGGGAACUGCCGUCACACAGGGACAGGCAGCAAGCCUUAAGCAGCUGCCUGUGAAACAGACUGGCACUCUGAGUUCCUACUUCUCUAUUUGUUCUUAGGCAAGAGGCCUAUCCAUCUUAGGCGCCAACACUGGCUUAUCCUAUUUUCCAAUGCACCAGAUACCUGAUUCACCUAAAUAGGAUCUAGAGAUCUUAGGAAAUUAUAAAAACAUGGGUGUGUUCCUGUGGUAUAUUUUUAUGCAGGAGAGAAUAUGUUGCUUUCUUUCUUUUUUUUUUUUUUUUUCUUUUCUUUUUUUUUUUUUUUUUGGAGCUGGGGCCCGAACCCAGGGCCUUGCGCUUGCUAGGCAAGCGCUCUACCACUGAGCUAAAUCCCCAACCCCAAUAUGUUGCUUUCUUAAAAAAAAGAAAAAGAAAAGAAAAACCAACCCAUUUACUUUGUGUACGUGUGUAGUCAAAAGGACAACCUCAGGGAGUUGAUUCUUCCCUCCUAUCAUGAGAGUCCUGGGGACUAAACUCAGGUCACCAGAUUUGAGAUAUAGGCCCUUCACUGUUUGAGCCAUCGCAAAGGCCUUGUUUUAUGUUUCAUUUUUUGAGAGAGAGUCUUGCUAUCCAACCCAUGGUAGCUUCAAACUCAAGACAAUCCUCUUACCUCAGCCACUUGGGUGCUGGCACCACCAUAUAUAGUUGUAGAGGGUUUUUGGAUGAGAAAGGCUUAAAUCAGUUGUAGGAAAGAGAUCUGAAUUGGAAAAUUCCGAGGCCCAAUUCUAACAGUGAUUUGUGGGGAGGCCUAACAUAACCUUAUUAGUUUGCCUGAAGUAAAAAUAAAAGAGAUAAACGUGGCUAAACUUUAAGUCCAGCAUGGUAGAAAGAGUCUGUGAUGGGGAGUUUGAGGGAAUCUACAAUGUGUGUCAAGGUCAGUCAGCCUUGGUUACAUACUGAGAUCUUGGGGUAACUUGGCAGAACUUAAGACAAAGUCUCAUUUAUGCUAAAUGUGUAUGAGACCCUAAAUUUCCUAUCUUAAGGCUACAGGAUCCCAAGCAAUCAGAAUAAAUAGCAGAACCAUAACUGGUGGGUGAGUUAACCCCACUAAGCCCAGGCUAGGACUGUCUCAUGGUCUAGUGCCCAUUUUCCUUAGGAAGAGGCUCGAGCUCCCAGAAGCCCAAGAUGGUUUAGGCUCCCUGAGACUCUGGGAUGCUGAAGAGAACAUAUGGGAGAAGAGAGAAAAUAGAGGCCAAAGCCACCUUCAUGUUUGGCUGAGGAGUCUGUGACUCACACCAAAUCCGUGGGCUAGGGUCUGAGGCAUGACAUCUAGGAGGAGGGGUGACGACAAACUGGGUUAGAGAGUGCCUCUGCAGGGGAAAUCUCUUUAAAAGGGAGAGGCUAGAGGACUGUGCUAGGGACAAAGGUGAAUGGUGUGAGCCAAAGAUAAAACCAGACUGGAAAAAACAGGUCUCUGAAACACAGGAAAGGAAAUGCCUACAACUAUUAUGUUGGUAUGAAUAAAAUUAUAGUCCAGAAUUCUAUACCAAUUUUGGAGAGGAUAUCAACUAGAUUUAUCUUAGGAAUUCCUAAGGAGAAGAAAUAAGAUAGCCAGCUUCAUGUGGUUUGGGGAAAAGGAGAUAUUUGAGAGCCCACACAGAUCCUAGACCAGAGACAGUACAGAGAAAGGGCAAAAAGUGACAGAUCCAGCAUCUGUGCUAAAAGUAGCUCAGAGAUGUAGCCUUUGUUAUGGAAAGACACAAGGAAGUAGUAAGAGAGCCUUUCUGGACACAGAAGCAUAGAAGCAAGUAGCAGCCAGAACAAGGCCCUCCCUCUCUUCUGUAAGAGCAAUGUCAAUGGGUCAGACUUAAACCUGGAAGGUGGAGGUGAAGAGGAUCAGAAGUUCAUGAUCCUCCCUGGUGAUAUAAAUUCUGAGGCUAGACUGGAACACAAGAUCUUGUCUGGAAAAAAUAAAAUAAAUAGAAAUAAAGACAAUGUGGGCACUCCCAAAGGCCCAAGGCUUUGCAUGACCAGUCACAACAAGCAUUCCGGUCUGUACAACAUUCAGAAGACUGCAACCGAGUGAAGAGCAGCAUCAGGGCAGCCUGGAGACAGAAGUGGCAUUUAGUCAGCUGGAACCCUGCAGUGCCCCACACAGCAAUCAGCCUGCUCUGCAGUGAAGCAGAGCUUCACACACUCCACCUGGCUGGGUCUAGAAACUGAUAAUCAGGCUCAUUCCAGGACCUUGAGUACGUGGCUGAAGAGACCUCUAUCCUUCAAAAAGCCAGAGGAAGGGGAAAAGGUGCCGUUAGGUCAGAUGUGAUCUUAUUCCCUGUUUCUUCCUUACUCAAAGCUUGAUAACAAUCAUUGUGACUUCACAUUGAGCUUUUCAGUCAGCUUCCACCAUUAUGAGAUACAGCUUCUAGUACAAAAGGAGCAGGGCACAGAGACAGUCUGUUGGAGAUCGGUAGCCUGACCAAUUAGUUUUAUUUAUUUAUCUUAUGUGCAUCUUUUUAAAGUGUAUUUUAUUAUAUAAUAUAAUUAUAUAUUAUAAAACAAAAUAUCAUUACAUUUUAUAAUUUUGUAAUAACUACAAUUUCAUGAUAAUAAAGAUAAAUGCUAUUUUAUGUGUAUGUUUGUCUGCAUGUAUGUAUAUGCAUGUGUAUCCUGGUAAACAUGGACAUCAGAAGAGGGAGUUCGCCUGGAACUAGAGUUACAAAUGGUUGUGAACUAUCACAUGAGUAUUGAGAACCUAACCUGGGUCUCUUACAAGAAAAACAAUGCUCUCACCUGCUGAACCAUCUCUUCAAAGACCUCCCAAUUUUAUUUAUUAUUUGUUUAUUUAUUUAGGUUCUUUAAGACAAGAAGGUUUCUCUGUUUCUCAGUCCUGGCAGUCCUGUAAGUCAGGGUUAGGCCAGGUUGGCCUUGAACUCACUGAGAUCCGAUGCCUCUUCUUCCUGAGUGCAGGGAUAAAGGUGUGCGACACCGUGCUAGCUUCAAUUUUAUUUCUGAAGUUACUGUCUGUUGCAUUUAUAUAAACAUGAGACCACUUGUUGAAUUUUUCUAGAAAAGGCUUUUAGGAAAACCUUUGAUAUCCAGUCUUUUGCCUGAGGGGAAUUUGCUAUCACUAGGAAAACAGAUAAGAGACAAAGGAAAAUGAAACACUGUCUAGAUUCAAGAAAGCAACCACUGAAGUAUCUGGUUUGAUCUGUUUUGGCAGCGCCAGAGAUUGAACCUAAGAACUUACAUAUAUCCUAGACUCCAUCACUGACCCACACUCUCAGCUCUCUGCCACUUUGAAAUUGGAGCUUAUAUAUAGCCCAAGCUGGCCUUAACUCAUGAUCCUCGUCUUCAUUCUCUAAAGCAGUUGGGAAUCACAUGGGUCCCAAAGCAUACCCAGCUACUCAAACAGUUGUUGUUGUUGUUUUUUUUUUUUUUUUUUUUUUUCGUUUGGAAA